UACGGAGGAUGCGAGCGUUAUCCGGAUUUAUUGGGUUUAAAGGGUGCGUAGGCGGGCUUUUAAGUCAGCGGUAAAAAUUCGGGGCUCAACCCCGUCCGGCCGUUGAAACUGUGGGCCUUGAGUGGGCGAGAAGAAGGCGGAAUGCGUGGUGUAGCGGUGAAAUGCAUAGAUAUCACGCAGAACCCCGAUUGCGAAGGCAGCCUUCCGGCGCCCUACUGACGCUGAGGCACGAAAGUGCGGGGAUCGAACAGG
rnacentral:rRNA from 1 species